rnacentral:rRNA from 1 species
CCUACGGGUGGCAGCAGUGAGGAAUAUUGGUCAAUGGGAGAGAGCCUGAACCAGCCAAGCCGCGUGAGGGAAGACGGCCCAAUGGGUUGUAAACCGCUUUUGUCGGAGAACAAAACCGGGGACGUGUACAGGACUGCGUGUAGCCGAAGAAAAAGCAUCGGCUAACUCCGUGCCAGCAGCCGCGGUAAUACGGAGGAUGCGAGCGUUAUCCGGAUUUAUUGGGUUUAAAGGGUGCGUAGGCGGUCCGUUAAGUCAGCGGUAAAAUCGCGGGGCUCACCCCCGUCGAGCCGUUGAAACUGGCGGCCUGGCGUUGGCUAGACGUACGCGGAAUGCGCGGUGUAGCGGUGAAAUGCUUA